rnacentral:misc_RNA from 1 species
UCCGGGUUGGACCCGGCGGUCCUGCCCAUGUCAAGCCCUGGUAAGGUUCUUCGCGUAGCUUCGAAUUAAACCGCACGCUCCGCUGCUUGUGCGGGCCCCCGUCAAUUCCUUUGAGUUUUAGCCUUGCGGCCGUAGUCCCCAGGCGGAGCACUUAUCGCGUUAGCUGCGCUACCGAGGGGGUCGAUACCCCCGACAGCUAGUGCUCAUCGUUUACGGCGUGGACUAC